CAGUCGCCGCGGUAAAACGAAGGGUGCAAGCGUUAAUCGGAAUUACCGGGCGUAAAGCGUGCGUAGGCGGUGAGUUAAGUCUGCUGUGAAAUCCCCGGGCUCAACCUGGGAAUGGCAGUGGAUACUGGCUCGCUAGAGUGUGUCAGAGGAUGGUGGAAUUCCCGGUGUAGCGGUGAAAUGCGUAGAGAUCGGGAGGAACAUCAGUGGCGAAGGCGGCCAUCUGGGACAACACUGACGCUGAGGCACGAAAGCGUGGGGAGCAAACAGGAUUAGAUACCCGAGUAGUCCCUGUCUCUUAUAC
rnacentral:rRNA from 1 species